ACUUAAAACUCAAAGGACUUGACGGUGUCCCAAACCAACCUAGAGGAGCCUGUCCUAUAAUCGAUAAUCCACGCUACACCUCACCCCCCCUUGUAAACCAGCCUGUAUACCGCCGUCUCUCAGUUCGCCUUAUGACAGACCCACAGCGAACACAACAGCCCACCACUAAAACGUCAGGUCAAGGUGCAGCCAACGGGGGGGUAGCGAUGGGCUACAUUUUCUACCACAACAGAACAUCACCAACCGCUAUAUGAAAUACGAGCCACAAGGCGGAUUUAGCAGUAAGUCAGACA
rnacentral:rRNA from 1 species